rnacentral:misc_RNA from 1 species
ACAAUCCUUCUUAUGUUGUUAGUCAAUAGACAUUAAAAGAUACUAAACCAACUAACUUUCCAAUUAGAAGGUCCUAACACUUAGUCCUGCCAAAAUCCACAUACUAGAUCAUUUAAGGUAAUGUUUCAUUGGCUGCAAAGAAAAGAUGAAAAUAUAGAUAGACAAUGGAUAGAUUAUAUCAAUAUGUGCACCCAAAAGAACCUGAUAGAAGAUAAAUUUUGUUUUAUUUAUUAAAUGCAGAAUCAACAUCAAAGUUAAGAUUCAAAAUUCCAUUUGUUCAUCUUGCCUCAACAUUUUCAGAACCAAUAAAUAAAUAAAUACUCAAAUUCCUUAUCUCUACACACCCUUAUAUUGCUCCAAAUUCAUCAAACCGUCCUGCCCUUAAAAUGAAGCCAGACCCAACACAUCUUCUUAAAAAUCGAAAUUAUAUCUAUAUGUUGUUCAAUAAAAAUACAAGCCUUCAAUAUAUAUUAAUGGCCGUCCAAUGAAUUCAUUGCAGAAUACUCUUUUAUCGUAUAAAACGCUAUUACUCAUUAAAAAAUAUAAGAAAAAGGGAUUAUAUUUAUAAGAUAGUAUUUAGUAAAUUAUAUUGCACAUAUAGGUUUAUGAAUCAAAGAAACAAUAGUUAAUCACAAAUAUCACCAAACAAAUACAACCCACCAAUCUACAAUAAAAACAAAAGAAGCUAACAACCCACAUAACAGAAACCAAUAGAAAUCAACCAG